ACAAAUUGAAAUCUGUUAAGUGUUAUUGCAUUAAUUAGUUUUUAUUAGACAUAACGAGUCACACACCUUGAGUAUAGUCCUAUGGUCUCUCACUUAGCAUAUAUAAAGACCAUGCAUUACCAAGUGCAAGAAAAAACAAAAUGAAUAAUAUAACAAUGAAUGUGAAGGACAGCAAAGGAAGAACCUUUACUCUUAAGGUUUCCAAGGAAAUUGCAGAAAGAAUGAAAACUGGUCAUUAAAUUAAAGAACUGGAAUAAAUACAAGUUAACAAUGAUUUGUGUGAUAGUUUUGAGUAUUUCCUCAGAUGCAAAGUUCCUCUCUGAUGUCAUGGCAAAAGUUACAGCCGUUGACACAAAACAAGGUAAACACUUGUGAUGAACAAACACAUACUGGACACAUAAGUGACAACUAAAUUUUCAGCUUUCUCUCUAAACAGCUCCUACAGUAUCAGCGAUCUAGCUGCAGUGUUUCCCCAACCUCCUUCUCCAUGUCCCUCUACCUCCACUGAGUCACCUGUACCCCUAAAUCUCAGUUUUGUAAAACCACCAACCAGCCAGUGCCCUGUGCAACAGACACCCAUUAGCCAGGACCUACCGACUACCACCCUAAAAACCGAUGUGGUGGGUGGUAACCCUUCAGAAGCCAGAAACCCAUCCUCUGUCCAGAUAGACCGCCCUGAAUUACAAGAAAUCACACACAAAAUGACGUUGCUACUUUUGGACCUUACAAAAACUUAUCAGCAACUCUACUUCCGCAACAAAACUGCUUUUUAUAAAAAGCUACAAACUACUUUUUCACAAAAAGGAUACACCUUGUCAAGUGAAAAAAUUAGAAACAAGUUAACCAACAUGUUAACUACUUACAAAAGAGUUAAGGACCGCCGCCGUGCAACUGGGGAGGGAAAGCAAACCUGGGAGUACUACACCCAAAUGGAUGAGCUAUUUGGGUCCUCUGGAAUAGGAACUGCACCACCUGGAACUAUCUGCUCCACUCCUCUAUGUGUGGAAGAUCCACCUUCCCAAAACAGGCCUCCAUCAAUCUCUCUUCCUCAAGCUCAGGCAGCAGGUGCUUCUGUAGACGAGCAGCCGGGGACCUCUGCCAGUAUAAGCAUGUCCAGGAGGCAGAGAUCCUCACAACCCUCACAGUUUUUUGA